AUAGAUUUUGAUCAAUUAUAUUGGACAUGUUUAAACUGCGUGUAUUUAAAAUGGCGAGCGUUAUGCUGUGUACAAUAUUAGAGCUUGUUAUUGGACUCGUUUUUUCUACAACAAUCAAUGUAGUGAAAGAUCCGUGUCCUCUACAAACUCUAGAGAUUAAAGGCAUUCAUUUAGUCGAUUGUUCAUCUGAACCUGCAAGUACCACCAAUUCUUACGUGGCCCACGGGAUUACAUGUAGAGUGACCUGUAAAUCUGACUAUUCUGGUGUAACACAGAUCCAAUGUUCUGAAGGUCAAUGGCAAGGCUCACCCAUACAAUGCCCAGAAUAUGAGCAAGGGGAAACAGUCAAAAUAUCACGAAGAAAGCGUUCGUGUUUAUUUAGUGUAUGUAAACUACCAGCAGCGACUAACUGAAAGAGACCUUCAAACUACAGACUAUUUAUAAACACCCCGUUGAUCUGUUUCUACGUCAUAAAG